AUUCUUUUUUCAACCUUUCUUUCUUUCGUUUGAAAUGAAAUAAAAGGCUUGGAUUCUGGAAGCUUUGCUGGCGCAAGUCGGCUCUUCUUAAAUGCAGUAGCAAGAUCAUUAGAAUGGUCUGAAUCAUUUUUGAUAUGAUAGUUAUCUAUAUCAUUAAUGAAACCGUUCACACCUUGCUCCUAAUUAAUUAGUUAUAACAACUU
rnacentral:misc_RNA from 1 species